AUGCACCUGGCCAACAGAGAGAGACACUUUAAUGGCCGGCAGCCAGAAGGGGAAGGUGGGGCCAAAUCCCCAGGAGCUGAGUCUCUCGGAGUGGGGUCUUCAGCUGGGUCUCCCACAGCCAUAGAGGGGGCUGAGGAUGGUCUAGAUAGCACAGUAAGCGAGGCUGCCACCUUGCCCUGGGAGACCGGCCCUCAGCCCAGUGCUCCGUUCCCGGAUCCCCCUGGCUGGCGGGACAUUGAACCAGAGCCCCCUGAGUCAGAACCACUUACCAAGCUAGAGGAGCUGCCCGAAGACGAUGCCAACCUGCUGCCUGAGAAAGCGGCCCGUGCCUUCGUGCCUAUUGACCUACAGUGCAUCGAGCGGCGGCCCCAAGAAGACCUUAUCAUGCGCUGUGAGGCAGGCGAGGGCGAGUGCCGAACCUUCAUGCCCCGCCGGGCCACCCAGCCCGACCCCACUGAGCGCAAGUGGGCUGAGGCAGUGGUGAGGCCGCCUGGCCGUUCCUGUGGGGGCUGCGGGAGCUGUGGAGACCGUGAGUGGCUAAGGGCUGUGGCCUCCGUGGGAGCUGCACUCAUCCUCUUCCCCUGCCUACUAUACGGGGCAUAUGCCUUCCUGCCGUUUGAUGUCCCACGGCUGCCCCCCAUGAGUUCCCGCCUGAUCUACACACUGCGCUGCGGGGUCUUUGCCACUUUCCCCAUUGUGCUGGGGAUCCUGGUGUACGGGCUGAGCCUGUUAUGCUUUUCUGCCCUUCGGCCCUUUGGGGAGCCACGGCGGGAAGUGGAGAUCCACCGGCGAUAUGUGGCCCAGUCGAUCCAGCUCUUCAUCCUCUACUUCUUCAACCUGGCCGUGCUUUCUACUUAACUGCCCCAGGAUACCCUCAAACUGCUCCCUCUGCUCACUGGUCUCUUUGCCAUCUCCCGUCUGAUCUACUGGCUGACCUUCGCCGUGGGCCGCUCCUUCCGAGGCUUCGGCUACGGCCUGACGUUUCUGCCGCUGCUGUCGAUGCUGAUGUGGAACCUCUACUACAUGUUCGUGGUAGAGCCGGAGCGCAUGCUCACUGCCACCGAGAGCCGCCUGGACUACCCGGACCACGCCCGGUCGGCCUCCAACUACAGGCCCCGCCCCUGGGGCUGAGCCGCUCUGCUCUCCCACUCGGAGUAGUGGGUAAUGGCGUGGGUCUGACACAUCUUUGAACCCUGUGGCCAGGCCUGGACUUCGCCCCCAGGCCUAGGACCGCAGUGGGUGGAACCCUGCUACUACCCCAACAGGGACUCCAAUCAAUCAGAGUUCUCCCCUUGCCCGGGCUGCCCUUCACCUUUGGUGCCCAGGACA